GAACGCAAAUUGCACUCUCUGGUAUUCCGGGGAGUAUGCCUGUUUGAGGGUCAGUUUAAAUAAAAAUCGAUGUGUCGCUUUUUGUGACGCUUCGGAAUUGGGUCACCUUGAUCUCUGGGUUAAGAGGCCUAAAAUUGAUACCUUUCCGAGCAUCUUGGACGUACGUAACCUUUCAAGUGCCGGAUCUUUUUACUAGGUAUGAUCAUGCUUCGCGUGGCCUCGUACCUAUAACGUGUACUCAUAUUUUGACCUCAAAUCAGGUAGGAACACCCGCUGAACUUA
rnacentral:misc_RNA from 1 species